GGGUCGUUAGCUCAGUUGGUAGAGCAGUUGACUUUUAAUCAAUUGGUCGAAGGUUCGAAUCCUGCACGACCCACCA
rnacentral:tRNA from 2 species